rnacentral:rRNA from 1 species
AGCAGCCGCGGUAAUUCCAGCUCCAAUAGCGUAUAUUAAAGUUGUUGCAGUUAAAAAGCUCGUAGUUGAAUUUCGGGAUCAGCAGGUUGGUCUUGCCACUGGUAUGUACUAGCUUGCUGAUUCCUCCUUCUUGUAGAACCGUAAUGCCAUUAAUUUGGUGUUGCGGGGAAACAGGACUGUUACUUUGAAAAAAUUAGAGUGUUUAAAGCAAGCUAACGCUUGAAUACAUUAGCAUGGAAUAAUGAAAUAGGACGUUUGAUCCUAUUUUGUUGGUUUCUAGGAUUGACGUAAUGAUUAAUAGGGAUAGUUGGGGGCAUUAGUAUUCAAUUGUCAGAGGUGAAAUUCUUGGAUUUAUUGAAGACUAACUACUGCGAAAGCAUUUGCCAAGGAUGUUUUCAUUAAUCAAGAACGAAAGUUAGGGGAUCGAAGACGAUCAGAUACCGUCGUAGUCUUAACCAUAAACUAUGCCGACUAGGGAUCGGAUGAUGUUAAUUUUUUAAUGACUCG